UUAAAGGCUAUGAACAGGAGUAGUAGAAAGCUUAACUUUCUAAGAGAGCCGAAGGUUGGUGCGAUUCGGUAAAGGGCGCUUUCGAACUCGCCUGGGAGCUUUUCUGGUGAAAUUAAGUAAUCAGAAACGUAAGACUGCGUUAAAGUUUAGAGUGAACCAUCCUUUGGAUGGUUAAUCGUGGUGGUACCGCGGAACCUCCCUCCGUCCUCGUG
rnacentral:ncRNA from 1 species